rnacentral:rRNA from 1 species
GGAUGAACGCUGGCGGCGUGCCUACUACAUGCAAGUCGAGCGAACGGACGAGAAGCUUGCUUUUCUGAUGUUAGCGGCGGACGGGUGAGUAACACGUGGAUAACCUACCUAUAAGACUGGGAUAACUUCGGGAAACCGGAGCUAAUACCGGAUAAUAUUUUGAACCGCAUGGUUCAAAAGUGAAAGACGGUCUUGCUGUCACUUAUAGAUGGAUCCGCGCUGCAUUAGCUAGUUGGUAAGGUAACGGCUUACCAAGGCAACGAUGCAUAGCCGACCUGAGAGGGUGAUCGGCCACACUGGAACUGAGACACGGUCCAGACUCCUACGGGAGGCAGCAGUAGGGAAUCUUCCGCAAUGGGCGAAAGCCUGACGGAGCAACGCCGCGUGAGUGAUGAAGGUCUUCGGAUCGUAAAACUCUGUUAUUAGGGAAGAACAUAUGUGUAAGUAACUGUGCACAUCUUGACGGUACCUAAUCAGAAAGCCACGGCUAACUACGUG